rnacentral:tRNA from 1 species
CAGGGGGUAGUUUACCUAAAACAAUAGCUUUGGGAGUUGUAGAAGCAAGUUUAAAUCUUGUCUCUCUGA